rnacentral:tRNA from 1 species
GCCCUCGUAGCUCAGGGGAUAGAGCAGCAGCCUUCUAAUCUGUCGCGCGGAGGUUCGAAUCCUCCCGGGGGCGCCG